UAAAAGAAAUGAGAGACAGUUUGUAUGUCUCUGCGUUGAGGAGAACACCGAGGUAGAACAAAAUCAACGGCCGAGAUAUCGUUUCAGUCGUCAUUUUAUGGAUUGGCGAUCUGAUUGUUGCUCGUCCACAU